CGGCGGACGGGUGAGUAACGCGUGGGUAACCUGCCUCAUGCAGGGGGAUAACAGUUGGAAACGGCUGCUAAUACCGCAUAAGCGCACAGUACCGCAUGGUACGGUGUGAAAAACUCCGGUGGUAUGAGAUGGACCCGCGUCUGAUUAGGUAGUUGGUGGGGUAACGGCCUACCAAGCCGACGAUCAGUAGCCGACCUGAGAGGGUGACCGGCCACAUUGGGACUGAGACACGGCCCAA
rnacentral:rRNA from 1 species